rnacentral:lncRNA from 1 species
AUGGCAAUGAGACUGAAGGCAAAAAUAUUCAGGUCGGUGGGGCUCUCGAUCGGUCCAUCCUUGGAUCAAAUCUAAGGUGGAACCUCGAACCACAACCGUCGUGGAUCCCCUAGCUCAAUCUAAACCAUCUGGUUCACAUGCCCCCUAAACAUAGGCUAGGAGCAGAGAGAUCUAUCCAUACCGAGUCCGACCUGAAAGGAUCCAAGCUUAAUAUCAUUUUUCUGACUGAUUUUGGCUUG